rnacentral:rRNA from 1 species
UACAGAGGGGGCGAGCGUUGUUCGGAAUUACUGGGCGUAAAGGGCGCGUAGGCGGCCUGCUAAGUCGAACGUGAAAUCCCUGGGCUCAACCCAGGAACUGCGUCCGAUACUGGUUGGCUUGAAUCCGGGAGAGGGACGUGGAAUUCCAGGUGUAGCGGUGAAAUGCGUAGAUAUCUGGGGGAACACCGGUGGCGAAGGCGACGUCCUGGACCGGCAUUGACGCUGAGGCGCGAAAGCCAGGGGAGCAAACGGG